CCUACGGGAGGCAGCAGUGGGGAAUUUUGGACAAUGGGCGCAAGCCUGAUCCAGCAAUGCCGCGUGAGUGAAGAAGGCCUUCGGGUUGUAAAGCUCUUUUGUCAGGGAAGAAACGGUGAGGGCUAAUAUCUCUUGCUAAUGACGGUACCUGAAGAAUAAGCACCGGCUAACUACGUGCCAGCAGCCGCGGUAAUACGUAGGGUGCAAGCGUUAAUCGGAAUUACUGGGCGUAAAGCGUGCGCAGGCGGUUUUGUAAGUCUGUCGUGAAAUCCCCGGGCUCAACCUGGGAAUUGCGAUGGAGACUGCAAGGCUAGAAUCUGGCAGAGGGGGGUAGAAUUCCACGUGUAGCAGUGAAACGCGUAGAGAUGUGGAGGAACACCGAUGGCGAAGGCAGCCCCCUGGGUCAAGAUUGACGCUCAUGCACGAAAGCGUGGGGAGCAAACAGGAUUAGAUACCCUGGUAGUCCACGCCCUAAACGAUGUCUACUAGUUGUCGGGUUUUAAUUAACUUGGUAACGCAGCUAACGCGUGAAGUAGACCGCCUGGGGAGUACGGUCGCAAGAUUAAAACUCAAAGGAAUUGACGG
rnacentral:rRNA from 1 species